CUCGUAGGUGGCCAACUAAGUCAGACGUGAAAUCCCUCGGCUUAACCGGGGAACUGCGUCUGAUACUGGAUGGCUUGAGAUUGGGAGAGGGAUGCGGAAUUCCAGGUGUAGCGGUGAAAUGCGUAGAUAUCUGGAGGAACACCGGUGGCGAAGGCGGCAUCCUGGACCAACACUGACGCUGAGGAGCGAAAGCCAGGGGAGCAAACGGGAUUAGAUACCCCGGUAGUCCUGGCCCUAAACGAUGAAUGCUUGGUGUGGCGGGUAUCGAUCCCUGCCGUGCCGAAGCUAACGCAUUAAGCAUUCCGCCUGGGGAGUACGGUCGCAAGGCUAGAAA
rnacentral:rRNA from 1 species